UACGGAGGGUGCAAGCGUUAAUCGGAAUUACUGGGCGUAAAGCGUGCGCAGGCGGUUUGUUAAGUCUGUUGUGAAAUCCCCGAGCUCAACUUGGGAAUUGCAAUGGAUACUGGCAGGCUGGAGUAUGGUAGAGGAAGGUGGAAUUCCCGGUGUAGCAGUGAAAUGCGUAGAGAUCGGGAGGAACACCAGUGGCGAAGGCGGCCUUCAGGACCAAUACUGACGCUCAUGCACGAAAGCGUGGGGAGCAAGCAGG
rnacentral:rRNA from 1 species